rnacentral:rRNA from 1 species
AACGUGUCCUGUAGUGGGGGAUAGCCCGGCGAAAGCCGGAUUAAUACCGCAUACGACCUAAGGGAGAAAGCGGGGGAUCUUCGGACCUCNCGCUAUAGGGGCGGCCGAUGGCAGAUUAGCUAGUUGGUGGGGUAAAGGCCUACCAAGGCGACGAUCUGUAGCUGGUCUGAGAGGACGACCAGCCACACUGGGACUGAGACGCGGCCCAGACUCCUACGGGAGGCAGCAGUGGGGAAUUUUGGACAAUGGGGGCAACCCUGAUCCAGCAAUGCCGCGUGUGUGAAGAAGGCCUUCGGGUUGUAAAGCACUUUUGUCCGGAAAGAAAAUUUCGAGGCUAAUAUCCUUGGAGGAUGACGGUACCGGAAGAAUAAGCACCGGCUAACUACGUGCCAGCAGCCGCGGUAAUACGUAGGGUGCGAGCGUUAAUCGGAAUUACUGGGCGUAAAGCGUGCGCAGGCGGUCUGUUAAGACCGAUGUGAAAUCCCCGGGCUUAACCUGGGACUGCAUUGGUGACUGGCAGGCUUUGAGUGUGGCAGAGGGGGGUAGAAUUCCACGUGUAGCAGUGAAAUGCGUAGAGAUGUGGAGGAAUACCGAUGGCGAAGGCAGCCCCCUGGGCCGACACUGACGCUCAUGCACGAAAGCGUGGGGAGCAAACAGGAUUAGAUACCCUGGUAGUCCACGCUCUAAACGAUGUCAACUAGUUGUUGGGGAUUCGUUUCCUUAGUAACGUAGCUAACGCGUGAAGUUGACCGCCUGGGGAGUACGGUCGCAAGAUUAAAACUCAAAGGAAUUGACGGGGACCCGCACAAGCGGUGGAUGAUGUGGAUUAAUUCGAUGCAACGCGAAAAACCUUACCUACCCUUGACAUGGUCGGAACCCUGCUGAAAGGUGGGGGUGCUCGAAAGAGAACCGGCGCACAGGUGCUGCAUGGCUGUCGUCAGCUCGUGUCGUGAGAUGUUGGGUUAAGUCCCGCAACGAGCGCAACCCUUGUCCUUAGUUGCUACGCAAGAGCACUCUAAGGAGACUGCCGGUGACAAACCGGAGGAAGGUGGGGAUGACGUCAAGUCCUCAUGGCCCUUAUGGGUAGGGCUUCACA